ensembl:lncRNA
CCCAACCCUGUCCACACGCCCAGUACUUAACUUUUCAACACACCCUCUUGACCAUAGUCCGGUUUCGGUAUCGAGCUGCAGCUCCCUACUUCUCAAUGCGAACGUGAGUAGAUUACCUCGAAAACAACGGUCGGACAUCUAGGAAGCAGUCUCCAGUUUGUAUUAUACCUCGGUGGUGUAGAAGGAACAAAUAUCGACCGGAUCUUGAUCGGACGACGAGAACAACAACGUGUUAAAGGUGUAACCAAGGCUUCUGAGAACACAGAGAAACAUGGCUACAGUCUUCAUCUGUUCCGUCUGUACCGAAGUCUUCGUUGGACAUAUAUCGCUGAGCUGCAAGCACACCUUCUGUGAACGUUGCCUCCAGAAGUGUAUGGACGCUGGUUGCGUUAUCUGUCCGGUGUGCGGGGAUCCAAUCACGUCGGAGAACAUCAGAGUCAACAGAAUACUAAGGGACAUGGCAGACGAAGUGAGACAGAGAAGAGUUGAUCUCAGAGUAUUGAAGAGGAAUGAGGACUUUGUGAAUAACUGGGAAACCAACAAGAAGAAGGAGAAUGUGAAAACGUCAAAGUCCUUGGUGAAGGAAGGCCUGGCUGCCAGAAAGACAGAGAGGAAGUUAAAGUCAUCUCUGACCACUGGUCCCUGGGAGGUGUUGGAGAGUCAUUGGAUGUAGCGAACUUCCUUUCCCAGCAGAGGGACCCUUUAAAACAAAAAAACUUUAUUGUCACAACCUGCUGAGGUGGUUGUUCAUCUCUUCAAAGAAGCUCCCGGUCUGAGGCACCGCAUCUCAG